rnacentral:misc_RNA from 1 species
UGCUUUCUCACCUACCCUCUCUCACUUCGACUCUCUCGCUCUCUAUCUCAUUGGAGAAGGAGAAAAGCCGCACACUCUCUUUGUUGCUCUCAAUUGCAAAGAAGUUUCUCUGAUCAUGUUUCUAUCGUCUUGAAGAGAGUCAAGACAUCAUCAGUGCAGUGAAGGAAGAUUUGAGAGCUGUAAAGGAAAGAGACCCAGCCUGCAUAAGCUGCGGGCACUGUUUCUUGAAUUUCAAAGG